rnacentral:rRNA from 1 species
CCAACAGGGAUUGCCUUAGUAACGGCGAGUGAAGCGGCAAAAGCUCAAAUUUGAAAUCUGGCACCUUCGGUGUCCGAGUUGUAAUUUGAAGAAGGUAACUUUGGAGUUGGCUCUUGUCUAUGUUCCUUGGAACAGGACGUCACAGAGGGUGAGAAUCCCGUGCGAUGAGAUGCCCAAUUCUAUGUAAAGUGCUUUCGAAGAGUCGAGUUGUUUGGGAAUGCAGCUCUAAGUGGGUGGUAAAUUCCAUCUAAAGCUAAAUAUUGGCGAGAGACCGAUAGCGAACAAGUACAGUGAUGGAAAGAUGAAAAGAACUUUGAAAAGAGAGUGAAAAAGUACGUGAAAUUGUUGAAAGGGAAGGGCUUGAGAUCAGACUUGGUAUUUUGCGAUCCUUUCCUUCUUGGUUGGGUUCCUCGCAGCUUACUGGGCCAGCAUCGGUUUGGAUGGUAGGAUAAUGACUAAGGAAUGUGGCUCUACUUCGGUGGAGUGUUAUAGCCUUGGUUGAUACUGCCUGUCUAGACCGAGGACUGCGUCUUUUGACUAGGAUGUUGGCAUAAUGAUCUUAA